rnacentral:rRNA from 1 species
UUACGGGAGGCAGCAGUGGGGAAUAUUGCGCAAUGGGGGAAACCCUGACGCAGCAACGCCGCGUGAAGGAUGAAGGUCUUCGGAUUGUAAACUUCUUUGAUUGGGGACGAUAAUGACGGUACCCAAGGAACAAGCCACGGCUAACUACGUGCCAGCAGCCGCGGUAAUACGUAGGUGGCGAGCGUUGUCCGGAAUUACUGGGUGUAAAGGGCGUGUAGGCGGGAGAGCAAGUCAGAUGUGAAAUCCCGGAGCUUAACUCCGGAGCUGCAUCUGAAACUGUUUUUCUUGAGUGCUGGAGAGGGAAGCGGAAUUCCUAGUGUAGCGGUGAAAUGCGUAGAUAUUAGGAGGAACACCAGUGGCGAAGGCGGCUUUCUGGACAGUAACUGACGCUGAGGCGCGAAAGCGUGGGGAGCAAACAGGAUUAGAUACCCCGGUAGA